UGCGGAACACCUAUUUUAGGAGGUAUCGUUAAGCCUAUGAAGUAAAAUUAAAAUUGCAAGAAAUGUCGAUAGUUUAUCGAUAUGACUUUAUCGACAUGGCUACAGCAAGGUAGGCCUCAUUGUUAAUCGUACACUAAACAAAAGUGGCAACAGUGACAGCUCGCUGAGACACCGUCUCUAUAUAUUAUGUCUAUGGUAAGUACCAAUAAACAAACAACAAGUAGUGAAAAUACAAACUAAGUUAAAGAAAAAUACUGAUUUGCUGUGAAAAUUGAAGGAAAUUCCACCCAAAAUGUAAGUUUCUCAAAUUUAUUCAUAGAUAAAUUUAUAAUUCGUUUGAUCAUUAACUAGUUUUGUCAUCAUGAAUAUGUUUAAUUUCAGUUGAUGCUUCGUCGCAAAAGAAAAUGCUAGCGAAAUAUAUCACUCAGCAUCCCCUGUCCGUCUACAGGGAGAUCCAUGAGCCUCUCGGAAUCCAGAGAUACAAAAUGCAAUGCUGCACAGUGCACACAAGUUCUAAGAGAGCAUGCAUAAUCAUGCUCGUAGGUACAGAUCAGUGCAGGGAUGGAAGUUAACUUAUCGUGACUCGAGCUGCAAAGUAAGAAAAUCAAUGUGGCACCAAACCAGGCUCGGCCAGUGAAGGAAAAUGGAUCCAGAAGAAUUAAGGAUUUAAGAUUCAUAACAUAUUGGAGGCUUGAAAGUGCACAUACCCAUACAUUGGACGUUAAGCUCAACGAGACCAUGCGUCGCAUCUCAGGCACUAUCCGAUCUGCAGCCGCCACGUGCUGCUGUCAUUGAGUCACAUUGCCCCUUCUCACAUCCGACGACUCCAGGCGUUGAAGAGGGAGGCUGAGAAGAUCACGAAUAACCCCCGCAAUGCCUGUCCACGAAGAAUUCUGCCGCCCAACCCCUCGGCAUCUGAAAUCCCGGAAUCCUGGGAGCCUGAGCAGCUUUAAUAUUUCGGAUAGGUAGAAAGCGGAAUGGUCUGCUAUAUCUGACCUGACUGAAAAACCAAAAGGUUUCACCUUCCUCGGAAAAUCUGGUGCCGCCUGAACGGGCUGAGAACCGGACAUGGCCGCUGCAAUUCAGCCACACACAAAUGGAGAUAGACGGCUUUCCCACUUUGCGAAUGCGGAGAGGAAAAGCAGACCACUUAGCAUAUGUUCCAACGCUGCCCACUCCACUCAUACCCUGCUGAGGACCUGAAGACCGUGACACCUGGCUUUGGUUGCUUGACUUGGCAACCUCAAGGCUACACUCUGAAUCUCCUCUCUUUAUAUAAUUGCUAUAUGGGUAAAUAAAUAAAUAAAUAAUAUAUAGCUAUCGAACGAGAAGGCUUAUGGCUUCAGCCAAGAAAAGUUCUCACAUUCCGGCUGAGACACACCUCUCAGCAACUGGCAUGUCCAUGCAUUUCGAAUACCAAGUCAAUAGUCAAAGUUUUUAUUUGUUAAACUAUUACAGUGGUGUAUAAAAGGUUUUUUACAAACUUUAAAGUUGCAAUGUAUGUAUCAAGUCCUGCAAGAUAAAUUAGACCCCACUUCCGUUUAUUCGAAGGAUUACUGACUUGAAUUAGAAUCGUUUGUCUUUAUCUGGCAUUUUGACUUACAUGUAUUUCUAAGAACGGGAUAAAACAUAAUUUAACUAAAUCGGGCCUGUAAAGUUUUAUGAAUAACUCGGGGUUUUAUGAAUAACGGGGUGUCUUUUUAUAGUUUAUUCCGCAAUCAUUAGUUUUUCUUAUUUAUAAACUAAAACUACCUAAAAAGUGAAAAACCUACAAAUA